ACUCUGGUGGUCCAGUGGUUAGUACUCUGCACCUUCACUGCAGGAGGCCCAGGUUUGAUCCCUGGUUGGGGAA
rnacentral:tRNA from 1 species